CAAUAUCUUAUAAAUGGUUUUUUUUUUUUUUGUUGGCUUUAUGUUUACGUUUUAUUUGUUAGCUCUACAGUCUCCCAUUAUCACUUGCUGUGAAGUAGAAAUAUUAUCAGCCAUUUGAUUGAGAUCCGAUGGUCUGAUAAGCAAAAUCAGUUAUGUCUGAAAUUGUGAAUGCCUUAUCGAUCGAGGUAGGGAAUUUUUUCUCAAAGACGUAAGAAUAUUCUCUACACGAUUUAAUAAUGGAGAUUUAGCGUAGAGAAGUGUUUAGGUUACUAAUGGGGAAGAAAGACUCAUUUCUCGUUACUAUGGAGGAUAUCUGUAGGGAAGAUUUUCUUGUCUGAUAAUAACGAUGUGGAAAGUCGUUAUCAUGGAGUGUGUGAGAAACAUACGUGAUAGGACUCAUUUUGUUAUUUCUUUGAAGCGAUUCGAAGUUGUUAUACUCAUUUGAAUCCAAGUAAUUAACUCAAGUGUUUAAAUUGAAAAGCUGGUGGCUUGAGGAUGAAUGAUUAGAUGAAUACUAUAAGUUAAGAGACUAUUUGUGCGAUCGCCAAGUGAGGAGCAAACCAAAUAAUGUCAAGUGAUAAGCAAAUAAAGAUCUACCGGUGAGUAUCUCUCAAAAACCUUCUCGUGAUGUCAUAUGUUACCAUCAUAUUAAUUUUUAAUCGUAAUAUAUAUAUAUAUGAGAUUUAAUUUAAAUUUCCUUUAAAAAAAUACAUGCUUGAUAGCAAGACAUAAAACCUUAUAAGUGAUUGACAAGUUUAUAUAAACCUCAAUUUAGAAGAAAAUAAAACGAGUAAAUAAAUGUAAUUGUCUUUUGCUGUUGUCUCUAUUUAAGAAAAGACGAUCUAAUAAAUUUUACGGGUUUUGAAAUAUUUUUUCAUACUUUAUGAAAAAUGAUUUAGGAAAUUAUAAUUUUAUUUCAUCAAAAAUAUAAUUUUAUUUCAAUCAAUAAUUUUAAAGAAAAUGGGCACCAUGAUUGAUUUGUAAUUUAGUUUGUUUCUAUAUCGGAUGACGUCAUUUAAUUGUUUAAUUUGACAUUGUAAUUAAUUUUGUAAAAAAACUUUUAUGAAAAAAAAGCCAUACAGUGUAAUGGUGGGCAAAGCAUAUGAGUUGAGCUCAGGGAAUCACAUGGCCAAGAUCUCUUGGUUGAGAAGAUUUUAGUAUCUUUGACUACUAAACGUACAAUAACAUGCAUUCUGCUAAAACGAGUCAAACUUAAUUUUAGGAGAAUCUUAAAUUUUAAUUUUUUUUAAUUUAGUCCUUAAAAUAUAUGUAUUAUAUUAAUCAAAAUUUUCUAUCAAUUUAAUUAUAUAAACUUGUUGAGUGUUUUGCUAUGUGUUUUCUUAGUGAAGGGAAUCGAUUUUUGUUUAUUGAAAUGACAUUUUAAAUAGGCUCCAUGCAUGCUAACAUGUAUCAUUAUAAACUUAACACGUGUUUAUUAAACCACUCACUUGACUUCGCACCAUUUGCCUGCCAAUACAUAGGAACAUGUGAACCUGGCUCGCGAAUUCUCCCCACUAGUUCUUGAUAUCUCUGUCUUGUGGGGUCCAGAUUCUUCUGUAUCUACUUAAAUUGUGAAUCAAUAGUUCAAUAUUAUAUUUGAAUUUUGAAUCAAGAAAUACCAUAACAAAAUUUAUCUAUCGAUAAAAUUUAAAAAAAAUCCAAAUAGAUUCUACGAAUGAACAUGUUUAAUCACGUAAGAGGAAAACAUGAUUGGAGUGUGUAUCGGAGCG
rnacentral:lncRNA from 1 species